rnacentral:rRNA from 1 species
UACGUAGGGUGCAAGCGUUAUCCGGAAUUAUUGGGCGUAAAGAGCUCGUAGGCGGUUUGUCGCGCCUGCUGUGAAAACUGGAGGCUCAACCUCCAGCCUGCAGUGGGUACGGGCAGACUAGAGUGCGGUAAGGGAGAUUGGAAUUCCUGGUGUAGCGGUGGAAUGCGCAGAUAUCAGGAGGAACACCGAUGGCGAAGGCAGAUCUCUGGGCCGUAACUGACGCUGAGGAGCGAAAGCAUGGGGAGCGAACAGG